AUUGAACGCUAGCGGGAUGCCUUACACAUGCAAGUCGAACGGAGUGGCGAACGGGUGAGUAAUGUAUCGGAAUGUGCCCAGUAGCGGGGGAUAACUACGCGAAAGCGUAGCUAAUACUGCAUACUAUUGGAGCGGCCGAUAUCGGAUUAGCUAGUUGGUGGGGUAACGGUUCAGCAAGGCGACGAUCCGUAGCUGGUUUGAGAGGACGACCAGCCACACUGGAACUGAGACACGGUCCAGACUCCUACGGGAGGCAGCAGUGGGGAAGUUUGGACAAUGGGGGAAAGCCUGAUACAGCCAUCCCGCGUGUGCGAAGAAGGCCUUCGGGUUGUAAAGCACUUUUGGCGGGGAGGCGGUACCUGCAGAAUAAGCACCGGCUAACUCCGUGCCAGCCGCCGCGGUAAUAC
rnacentral:rRNA from 1 species